GUCUUACACGUUGUGUGAAACAUAUUUUAUUUUAGAAUUUCAGAGAGCUGUAUCGUUGGGAAACCCGCAGGACUGGAAGACUUCACUAAGAGAUCAUUCAAUGAGAGAGAUGCUCAAAUACCCAGCACAGACCAGGCCAUGGCGCAAAGGUCUACCUAUCUCUCUAAAGGGAAGAGGAGAGUAUCAGAAGCUGUGAAAUGGAGGAGAUAGUCAGCCCUCUGGCCUAGGUCAGGCCAUUGUCUUCCAACAGGUGAGGUCACUCCUACUGUGACGCUAGUCCCUUGACCGACGGUGCAGACGAAAGGCUAGGUCUGGCCAACCUGAAUGAUGUCAUCAACAGUGCUGCAUCACCCAGUGAAGACAGGAUCCCAGCUGUGAACAGCAGCUUUGAGAGCGUUUGAGCGUCUCAGGAAUGGUGUUGGUUGGGCGUGGCUCAGCUGUUCCUUGCAGGGCUGACUGAGUUAGUGCCUGUGCUGUUAUGGGUUCAUUGGGCUGGCAUGCGGCAGGAAUCUUUGGAUCAAGCAUCCCAGGAGCACCCAGGGCUGAAGCCACCAGCGGGACAAAGGAACGACUUGAAAGACAUGGGCUAUAAAUUAUCUUCUGACACUCCAGUUUCCCAAAAGGAUCAGAUUAUUGCAGCCUGUCCAAGUGUGGGACGGUGCAGUGAAUUCAUGGGUGGUGCUGUAAUAAUGAUGAAGGGAGUUGGAUUUGUCAUUGUGGAGGUCCAGAGUUUUGGGAGGGAGGCCAGGCUAGCGGGGCUCUCGUUUGUCUUUAUCAGAUACAAUGAAGAUAAGAAGGUGUAUUCUUAUUAUCCUUAUGAAUUGUAUUGAUGUAUAUUAAAGUGUGUGCGUGUGUGAACGUUUGUGUGAACGUGGGUGUGUGGCAUCAUUUAUGUCUACAUCUGUGUCAGUGUCUCUAUUCAACCAGCAACACGUGUGUUAUGGUUCUUUUGUAAUCUUCCCAGACUGUUCCAUGUUAUUAUUAGAUAUACCAGAUGAGUCAACACCUGAUGGGUAUGGAUGGAAAAUGAGAGAGGUAUAAUUGUUUAAGUAAUCUAGUUAAUCUCUACUAUACCCAGCUCCUGCUCUCAUGUACCAUCUGUUACUGCUGGAGACCUCCGAGGCCCUAACCUAACCACACAUACUGUAGGGAAG